GAUGCCAUUACGAUUGAUCAUAUAAUAGUCUUAUGGUGGUGACCUGUAGGUUUGAAACUCGUGGGUUUGGGUUGUUUUGUUUUUCCACUGAGUUUUUGUCCUGGAUUACAUCAGACCAUAACAGAUACUUUUUCCUCCCUAAAAUCCACUGCCAACUGGUCAGAUGGCUAGGUCUCUUUCUGUCAAAAGUACUGAUUGCAAGCCCCUUUCAGUACCACUCAGCUUAUCCUGGCAUUUUCAGAUAUGGUUUAAUUGGAGUAAGGUUAAUCUACUUGUAUGUUAACCAAAAACGGGUAAGACCAGGAGAAGCCCCUGGGAAGCUUAAUUUCUAAAAUUUGUGCUGUAGACUUUUAUGGAGAAGAGUUUUGCUCUCACAGGUGGACAAUUCAGUAUCUUUCACAACUACUCUGCUUCAAGGAUAUGACAAGCUGUAGCAUAGAAUUAAAAACUUUGCAUAGGAAAAGACACAGUGAGAUGUGGCAAACAUGACAGCAUACACAUUUAAAAGCUUUGGUGACUGAAGAGCUGGAAAGUAUCCCAAUGUUGGCCUUCUUUUGGCAGAAGGAAGCCAUGUUACAAGGAGUCCUCUUGCCAAGCAGGCAGUUUUCUGUAAGCAAGCAGGUUACAUGACACUAAAAGAUGUAUAGGUUACUGAACUGGAAGCUCAUACUGUGAUUUGUUUUUUUAAUUCAACCGUUUCUAUCUUUGUUUUUAACUAGGUGUCUUAGGACUUCAUUGUUGGUGAUGAUUUUUUUUCCUCCUUUCCUAAAAUGUAAAAGUAUUGUCUUAAGAAUUCACAAGAAUGCCCGUCAUUGAAUUGCUUAUCAAGGAAUGGAAUGUCUGUCUGUUCAAAAUCCUCUUUGAUCUGUUUCCAGAGCCCAUGCAGUCCAUACAGCUCCAUAAGCUAGAAAAGAAUGCCGGAGAUGGAUUGUCAUGAGAGAUGGGCUCUCUUCUGGUAUUCAGCCAAGCUGCCCCUUUCUGUAACCCACAAAACUGUUUGUUCUGGUAGUGUUAGAUCAAAAGCAAGCAUUCUUUGAAACAUGUAGUAGUGUUGGUGGUGUCAUUUGCAGAUUAAUGCAUGCAAUAGCCCUCUCUCUCUCACAGUUGGAUGAUCCUAUAUAACUUGGAUGCAGGAUUGUAAAUUGACAUUGAAUAUUACUGCAAGUUAGGUACUCUUUUUUAGAAGAAUACUUAGGACUCAGACCACGGCGGGAAUUUGAAUGGAACUGAUGUGACUGUGCAGGAGUAAUUUCCAAGAGCAUUGCGUAUCAAGACCAUACUUCAUAGGAUUAGGACACCUGUUGUUGCCUAUCUGGACUUCUGUAAGGCCUUUGACAUGGUCCCCCACAACAUCCUUCUCUCUAAAAUGGAGAGGUAUGGAUUUGAUGGGUGGACUGUUUGGUGGAUGAGGAAUUGGCUGGAUGGUUGCGUGCAGAGGGUAGUGGUCAAUGACUCAAUGUCUAGAUGGAGGUCAGUGAUGAGUGGUGUCCCCCAGGAGUCCGUAUUGGGACCAGUACUGUUUAAUAUCUUCAUCAAUGACAUAGACAGUGGGAUUGAGUGCACCCUCAGCAAGUUUGCAGGUGACACCAAGCUGAGUGGUGUGGCUGACAUGCCUGAGGGAUGGGAUGCCAUCCAGAGGGACCUGGACAAGCUUGAGAGGUGGGCCCGUGUGAACCUCAUGAGGUUCAGCAAGGCCAAGUACAAGGUCAUGCACCUGGGUCAGGGCAACCCCUGGUAUCAAUAGAGGCUGGGGGAUGAAGGGACCGAGAGCAGCCCUGCAGAGAAGGAUCUGCAAAGGACUACUACUCUUGAGCUAUUUGUUCAAUUCAAGCUUAUGCUGAUUAUUGGUUUUUUCUGCUGCAAGGUUAGUAAAUCAUUUAUUAGAUCAUUGUACCAAUUAUUCUAGUUAUGAGAGUAACUUCUGCUGCCUUUCAUGUAGGUAAUAUUUCAACUUACAUUCUGUACCACUUUCAUGUUGUGGAAGGGCUGUUUUUCAGCCUCUUGUUCAUGGCUGAUUUGCCUUAACUGCUCUGAUUCAUGCUAUUUUGUUCUUUAAAUUAGAGAAUGAUUUUUUUUUUUUCCAAGGCUUUGAAAUAAACUAUCCCUGCACUUCUUAUGAAGUACUGCAGCACAACUAAUAAAAUUUAACUAGCCAUCUACCCACUCUUAAUAUUUUUCUGAGUUCUCCAGAUCAGGAGAGAUUCUUAUGUAGUACUAUAGUGCAUCAUGAAUCAGAAAUAGCUAUUGUUUCCUUUACCCUGAAGGCUGCUAAUAAGCAGUCAAGCAUUGUCAUUUAAGAAGUGUACUAGUACCUACAAUUUUUUGUUCCCCAAUACCUGUUUGUAGACUGCUGUUUGCAUUUCCUUUCUUUUUGUUUAAAGAGGUAUUGAAUUACAUGUGAAUAGUCACAUAGUGUUUUGUAAGUAAAUGGAAAAAUAUGGUUGUUCAGUUUAUGUUCUUUGUAUGCUUAUGAUGAUGAUGGUUUUCCAUUUUCCUUAAAGGUUCCAAGUAUUAGCUAAAUGAUACUCCAGUAAAGUGAGAUUAAUGUUUUGAUAAUGCUUCCUAAAUAACUUAAAUGUUCUGAUCCUUCCCUUUUAGUUUUUAUAUACUAGGUUAAGUUUUAGAAACUUCUAGCUUACGAAUAUUUCCUUUUUUAAUUCAGCCAAAUGACAGAGUUGUGUAGAUUUCUCUGCUGGUUUUAAGAGGCAAGGCCAAAAGCUUUGAGAAUGUGUCAUUUACAUUAAAGUCCUAGGAAUCAUUUUAAAAUGUAUUGUUCUUGCAAAAGAAGUGUAUCUAAAAUGAGCCUGACAUUGAUCUCAAGAUGCAAGGAAGAUGAGCGUUGCUGCAGUAGCUUUAAAGGAUGUUAGCACAAUAAAGAAGUAUCUUCAGCGUGUCUCCUAUCAGUUACCUUUCUGACUAUAGUAAUUUAGCAUGAAAAAUGAAAUGUUGUUCUGGAGGAAAGUACAUGAAGUGUGCUUUUUUCUUUUGCUGUAUUUUGUAAAUUGCCAGAAAUGUAUGCAUAUUUAUCCAAAACUUUUUUUCCAAGAAAGUGUAUUAAUCAGCCUAUUAAUCUCUGCACAUAGAGCUGUUCACUGAAUCAUUGUUCAGAAAUGAGAAUCCAGAUACUGAUGUGCUUCUCACCGGUGGACUUGUUUGGUAUAAGCCUUGAUGGUGCCACUGUUUUCGAUCAUUUCACUGAAAUACAGAAAGGCCUGCAGAGGGCAGACUGAGAAGCCUGGAUUUCUGACUUUCUGAAUCUCUAAGUGUAAAUAUAGUCACCGAACUGUUUCAGUGUGUAGAUAUUCUUUAAUUUAAACUAUAGCAUGAUGGUUUGGUGUUUGGCUUUGAAGUGUUUCAGAAAGCACCUGACAUGAAUAAAGAAGGAAUAGUAAACACUAACUUGCCUUGAUCUGUUGGAAUUAGGAUCAGACGGAAACCUUGGUCAUUGUGUGGCUCUCCUGCAGAACUGGAUCAUAGAAUCGUAGAAUAUCUCAAGUUGGAAGGAAGCCACAAGGAUCAUCGAGUCCAACUCCCUGCUCCUCACAGGACUACCCAGAACUAAACCAUAUGUCUAAGAGCUUCAUCCAGAUGCUCUUUGAAUUCUUGACAAGUUUGGUGCUUCACUGGGGAGCCUGUUCCAGGGACCAACCACCCUCUCAGUGAAGAACCUUUUCCUAAUGUCCAAUCUGAAUUUCCCCUGAUGAAGCUUCGUUCCAUGUCCUCAUGUCCUGUUGCUGGUCACCAGAGAGAGGAGAUCAGCACCUCCCCCUUCGCUGCCCACUUUGAGGAAGUUAUAGACUGCGAUGAGGUCACCCCUCAGCCUUCUCUUCUCCAAACUGAACAAACCACGGGACCUCAGCUGCUCCUCCUAAGUCUUGCCCUUGAGGCCUUUUGCCAUCUUGGUUGCCUUCCUCUGGAUACACUCUAAUAGUUUGGUGUCCUUCUUAUAUUGAGGCACCCCAAACUGCACACAGUACUUGAUGUGGGGCCGCACCAGUGCACUGUAGAGUGGGACAAUCACCUCCCUUGACCGGCUAGCUAUGCUGUGUUUGAUGCACCCCAGGACACAGUUGGCCCUUUUGGCUGCCAGGGCACACUGCUGACAUCGAUGAUGUUGUAUUCCAUUUGUCCCCAAAAUGUUGAAGGCAUAGAGAGCCGAUUCCUUUAAGUCAGUAUGGCAAUUACAUCCAUAAUAGAUUAAACAGAAAACACUGAUCUACCAAAAAACUACAAAAAACAGUUGAAAGUACCUUUCAAUAUGUUCUUAGAUAACCAUAAAUUUUAAACUUCUAACCUCUUGUGUUUUCAUUCUUUGUAAUCGUGCUUGAGUAAAGCAGGAGGAUGUUCAUGGUAGCCUACUGGAGAUUUGUAGAAACAUGCUAACCAGUAAAUUUUCCAAGAAACACAGAAACUUAGGAUUUGGGUGAAGACCUGUGUGUUGAUUAAACUGGGGUGCAAAUCAUUUACUGGAAACUUGACUGGCUACUUUGUGUGGUUACUUUACAAAAUCUGCCUAACCUGAAAAGCCAUCACUGUUUACCUGAAUUCAGUUUGCACUCCUUCCCUUUGACGUCAGUUUUGCUUUGACUUGUAGGUAUCACAGUGGAUAAUUAUUCAUAUACAAUAACCAUAUUGUUCUUCCCUCUCUCCACAAUAAUUGUCCUACCUGGCAAGUUAAACAUUUGUGUCAUUAUGAGAAAUAACUAGCUGGAAAAUGACAGAUUUUUCUGUUUGUUCAUUAGCUGUACUAAGGAAAAUGAUUCAUGCUAUGUUAAUGAAUACUGCUAUUUAUCUCCUUCAAGAUUAGAGAUCAAGAGAAGAUUCUCUUUUAUACCUUAGAAGUUCCUCUCAUGUGGCCUAGACCUAGAUAGGAGCAAAGGGCAGCUGUGAAUAUUUUUAUUUCUGCUCACUGUUGUAGGAAGAAUAUACUGAAUUGUUAGUGCAGCAGAUCUUCUCUCUCCUAUGGUUUCAUGAUUUUUACAUUGUCUAUGUACCGUUUAUUACAGCAUGCUGUUCACUUCACUUUGCAGGGAUCCAAGCAAUUGAACCUUGCAGGAUACUCUCUGUUGACCUAGUCAUUAACCAAUUCCUGUUUCAGCUGCCUAUCUUAAGAAAAUAUGUGUAAUUAUGUUUCAUUUUGCAACCUAGGUGCACUUUUAAUUUCUUCCCUGCCAAAUAAAUUAUAAGCUUGAAUAUCCA